GCCUCUCGCAUUAGUAGAGUGUGACUGGAACUGGCAGGAGGCCCUGGCGGGCCUCCAGAAACGAUUAUUACUAGACAGAGCCAAAGGAGACUUGGCACGGCGCGGAGCCCACAGCUGGAGAUUAGGUAACAGAGCCCGCCCGCUCGCCGAGCUGCCAGGGCGUUGGUUACCCUGCCUGAGGAGAGGGUCAGGGCUCUGUUUUCGUAGCUCGGAUUCAUGUAGGGUGCCUGCCUCUGAGACUCUCGCUGCUCCAAUCGGUAACCCAGGGGUUUAUUCCGCAGGAUCGAACCGCCAUCCCAAACCCUGGCAGUUGACCAAAAUGCCUCUCUGGUGAAACUACAGAGGAUGAGCCUGCACUGUCCCUGUCCUGUGCAGCACCCAGAGAGCCUGGUGGUACCCGUGGGGAGCCAGGGCUGGAUGGUUCUGUACAGACAACGCAGCAGGGCAGCGCUGCUCUGGGGAGAAGAGGGGUCAGGCAGGCAGAGCCGGAGCACCGCUCCACUCAAUGCCAGCCCGCUGCCGUGCUCCUUCCCAGGACACGGCCAUGCCCUCGCCUGCCACCCUGCUCCAGAGGCUGAAACGCUGCAAUGCUGAAAUCCUGAAAUGCUGAAACGCUGCAAUGCCGCCAGCGCAGGCUCGUCUGAUAAGCUUUCGUUAUCUGUGCGGGAGAGUGCAAAUGCUCCUGGUGUGGGGGACUGGCUGGUGGUGGAACCACACGGAGGAGUUUCCAGCGAAUGCUGACCAGGGCUAAUGUAAAACUGACUCCACAGCUCACUCUCCAAGCUCCUCCUUCCUCAGCAAGCAAGUGGGUUUUUUCUUUCAUAACAAAACUUGAAGCGAGGAAUUGCUUUCCAUUACCCAAAGUACAGAUCUUGUCCUUCUCCUUAAAUCACCUUCAGCUUGAUGAGCGUGGGCACUCCUUGCUGGUGCCUCUAAACAUCGCCUGGAGAGAAAACCUCUGAGGAAAGUGAAAUUCAGAAGAGCUAAUAAAACAUUUUCUGAAGAGUUCGAAUCUCUCAUUCCAAAGAAAACAAAAAGGUCGGCUGACCUUUCAACCUGACCCUUUUCUCUUUUUUUCUAAGGCAUUAAGAAAAACAUUCUGCAAACAAUGAGUGCUCGUGGUAAUUGUCCCUCCCCUGUGCCCCAGUUCUUGCCAAAAGCAACAUUUCAAUGGCUAUGGGGGGUGGAGGUUGAAAGCAAAUGAGUGAGCAAGCAAAUGCUGGCUUUCACACAUCAGUGGCUGGCUACGCCCUGACCACAUCCAAGGAGGUUCAAGGUGAGGGAGUCAAGCUCUCAGGCUGCUCCUCACUGAGUUUUACAGUUGCAGUGUCUGAAAUAUUGCGGUUCAAGUAUGGAAAUCUGUGUCGGAAGCAUUCAGAAUGUCCAGUCAAAGGCACUAGGACCUGCAGUGGAUCCUGCUGUGACAUGUUUCCAGCUGCAAAAGGAAUCAAAAGAUUUAGGGUUGAGUUCCCUCCUGAUUCUGGAACAUGUUCCACUGUGCAAUCUUUUGUAAUAUCUCUCUUCAAUAAAAGCACUAAUGCUCUCCAAGAGGCCUCCCCCUUUCACUUUCCUCAUAAGAGGCGAUGACAAGCUCC